AACGCCAGGGAAUUACGAGUAAUCUUAAAACCCAAAGGACUUGACGGUGUCCCACUCCCCCUAGAGGAGCCUGUUCUAUAAUCGACAAUCCCCGCUUUACCCGACCACUUCUUGCCAUUUCAGCCUGUAUACCUCCGUCGUAAGCUUGCCCCAUGAGAGCCCAUCAAGCAGGCCCAAGGAUUUAACCACCAACACGUCAGGUCAAGGUGCAGCCCACGAAGUGGAAAGCAAUGGGCUACAAUUUCUAAAUUAGAACAAACGAAAAACUGCAUGAAACACAGUUAUUGAAGGUGGAUUUAGUAGUAAAAAAGAAAUAGCGAGUCUUUUUUAAUCCGGCCCUGGGACAUGUACACACCGCCCGUCACCCUCAAA
rnacentral:rRNA from 1 species